rnacentral:rRNA from 1 species
AGUGAACGCUGGCGGCGUGCUUAACACAUGCAAGUCGAACGAGAAACGGUCUAGCUUGCUAGAUGCAGUCUAAGUGGCGCACGGGUGAGUAAUAUAUAGGUAAUAUGCCUCUUACUAAGGGAUAACAGAUGGAAACGUCUGCGUAAUACCUUAUAUGCCUUUAGGACUAAAGUCCGCAAGGGAAAGAUUUAUCGGUAAGAGAUUAGCCUGUACAGUAUCCAGUUAGUUGGUGAGGUAAUGGCUCACCAAGACUAUGACACUUAACUGGUUUGAGAGGAUGAUCAGUCACACUGGAACUGAGACACGGUCCAGACUCCUACGGGAGGCAGCAGUGGGGAAUAUUGCACAAUGGACGAAAGUCUGAUGCAGCAACGCCGCGUGGAGGAUGACACAUUUCGGUGCGUAAACUCCUUUUAUAUGAGAAGAUAAUGACGGUAUCAUAUGAAUAAGCACCGGCUAACUACGUG